rnacentral:lncRNA from 1 species
UCAGAGCUUCCGGUUCGAUGGAUAUCACUUUGUGUGGUAUUGCGAAGGUGCUGAAGAAGUGUGACAUUGUGAAGUGCUGUUUUGGGAGGUUCUGGAAAGACACCUCUCUUUUCUGGGAACCAACCUGGUGCACGGUUUACAGUCGGUUUGCAACUGUGAUGAUGCUGUGAUGGAGGAGUUGAUGCAAUCAUGAUUACACAAGGA